rnacentral:rRNA from 1 species
AGAGCUCAAAUUUAAAAUCUGGCAGGUCUUGCGCUUGUCCGAGUUGUAAAUUAGAGAAGUGUUACCCGCGUUGGACCGUGUACAAGUCUCCUGGAAUGGAGCGUCAUAGAGGGUGAGAAUCCCGUCUUUGACACGGACUACCAAGGCUUUGUGGUGCGCUCUCGACGAGUCGAGUUGUUUGGGAAUGCAGCUCUAAAUGGGUGGUAAAUUCCAUCUAAAGCUAAAUAUUGGCGAGAGACCGAUAGCGAA